AAUUCCAAGAGAAGGUCUAUUCUCAGAAGAUGGUUUUUAAAAAGCUCCAUGUAUAUAUUCAUUAGCAAAUUGGUAAUGGCCGAGAGCUUGGAAGAGUAAUUAUUCCAGACAGACAUUCCUGUACAGAGGUACUGCACUUUUACACAGUGAUGUUAUAAAGGUAACACUGCCCUAAUGUUCCACAUUGACUCUAAGCCUAGGUCUAUACUUGCGGCAGCGAGUUCAUACACUGCAUGUCCCCCUAACAUGGGUAAAAACAGCAGUGCAGAUAGUGGGACACUGCUUAGACGAAUAAAGACACUCCAGAACCUUUGGGUAUGUCCUCUACAGGGCUCUAUCCUCCCAGAGCAGUGCCUCCUCUAUCCACACUGAUGUCUUUAGUGGAGUAGUGGCCCACUGCCUCCCUGCUGGCAGAGCCUUUCCACAAUGCAAUGAAAGAGUCUGGCAGUGGGAAAAGGCUCUGGCAGCUCCCUGCUGUCUCUCCCCAGCCAGCCUCUUUCACUGCCACACACACAUACAGUUUGGAUGCAGCCUGCUUUUCACUGCAGUGUGCAACUACACAUAUCCUAAAAGUAGCUGUCACUGUAGAUAAGAUAAUGCUGAAGACUUCGCAAUACAAUGUCCAUUCAUUCAAAUUAUGUUUUGAAUUACAACAGUUAACCUCAUAAAUGUUAAUACAUAUUGAUUCUUUACACCUUGGAGUUUAACUUCUAUGUUGAUGGGGAAAAUCAAAGGCUGAAAAAUGUUUAUCCUCAUAACCAGUACAGUCUAGAGCAAACUGCAUUGGCAUUCACAGACUAGAGCAAUGCUAACAUAUUGAGAACCUCCUAUGUCACGGAUGGGAAUGUUACCCAAUUUCAGCAUCCAGUCUCUUUGUACUCGGAGCCUUUACAAACCAGGAUGAGGAAAUACAGCUCAUUGACGGGGAAUUCAAGGACAACACUAUCUGACUGGUAUGCUUUCCAUACUUACGGCAUAAAAGAUGAAGUUGGACUGAACAUCUCAAGGAAGGAGAUUACUGUUAGAAAAUAAGUGUUAAUGAAAGACAGCACAAUUUGAUAUUUUGGCUCCAAAUAGAUUCCUGGGAUCUGGCUUCCACACCAUCUCUGCACUCAGCCUCUUCAACUGAGGAACCUCUCUGCAGUAACAUUGUGGACUCUCUCAUCUCGUCAUCAGCAUGAACGCAAGUCCUCUGGAAUGGUGGCCAAAGCAUGAAGGGGCACAUGAAUGUUUAGCAUAUCUGGCACUUAAAUACCUUAGAAUGCCAACUACAAAAGUGCCAUGCCAACGCCUGUUCUCACUUUCAGAUGACAUUGCAAGUAAGAAGCCGGCAGCCUUAUCUCCCGUAAAUGUAAACAAACUUGCUUGCCUGAGUGAUUGGCUGAACAAGACGUAGGACUGAGUGGACCUGUAGGCGCUAAAGUUUUACACUGUUUUGUUUUUGAAUGCAGUUAUGUAACAAAACAAAACAAAAAAUUUACAUUUUUAAGUUGUACUUUCACAAUAAAG